rnacentral:tRNA from 1 species
UAGAUUGUAGUUUAAUGGUAAAACAUUCCGUUUUGGUCGGAAUAAAGAAGGUUCGAAUCCUUCCAAUCUAGCC